UGCAGUCGCACGAGAAAGGGUCUUCGGAUCUGAGUAAAGUGGCGCACGGGUGAGUAACACGUGACUAAUCUACCCUCGAGUGGGGAAUAACCUAGGGAAACCUGGGCUAAUACCGCAUAACACUUACGAGUCAAAGCAGCAAUGCGCUUGGGGAGGAGGUCGCGGCAGAUUAGCUAGUUGGCGGGGUAAUGGCCCACCAAGGCGAUGAUCUGUAUCCGGCCUGAGAGGGCGCACGGACACACUGGAACUGAAACACGGUCCAGACUCCUACGGGAGGCAGCAGUGGGGAAUUUUGCGCAAUGGGGGAAACCCUGACGCAGCAACGCCGCGUGGAGGAUGAAGUCUCUUGGGACGUAAACUCCUUUCGAUAGGGAAGAUAAUGACGGUACCUAUAGAAGAAGCCCCGGCUAACUUCGUGCCAGCAGCCGCGGUAAUACGAGGGGGGCAAGCGUUGUUCGGAAUUAUUGGGCGUAAAGGGCGCGUAGGCGGUUUGGCAAGUUUGGUGUGAAAUCUUCGGGCUCAACUC
rnacentral:rRNA from 1 species